rnacentral:rRNA from 1 species
GCCCGCUCAGAACCUUAAAGGAAUUGAGGGGGCCCGCACAAGCGGUGGAGCAUGUGGUUUAAUUCGAUGAUACGCGAGGAACCUUACCUGGGCUCAAAUGUAUGUUGACGUAUUCUGAAAGGGAUACUUCUUCGGACAAUAUACAAGGUGCUGCAUGGUUGUCGUCAGCUCGUGCCGUGAGGUGUCGGGUUAAGUCCCAUAACGAGCGCAACCCCUACCUUUAGUUGCCAUCAGGUUAAGCUGGGGACUCUAAAGGAACUGCCUACGCAAGUAGUGAGGAAGGCGGGGAUGACGUCAAAUCAGCACGGCCCUUACGUCCAGGGCUACACACGUGCUACAAUGGCCGAUACAGAGGGCAGCUACCUGGUGACAGGAUGCAAAUCUCCAAAGUCGGUCUCAGUUCGGAUCGGAGUCUGCAACCCGACUCCGUGAAGUUGGAUUCGCUAGUAAUCGCGCAUCAGCCAUGGCGCGGUGAAUACGUUCCCGGGCCUU